GGCGGAAAAGGCCUCUUCUUACAAGCUUCAACGAUGGUUUCUGAUUCAUCAUGCCUAUCAUCACCAGUAUUCAGCUGAGUUUCAUCAAACAAUAUAGCCAUACUUACAUCCAGUCAGUUACAGCUACGAUUCGAUCCUCGUCAUAGUCUCGUCCCCUUUGGAGGGGUUCAUUGGGCGAGUGGACAAUUAGGCUAUGGUAUCCUAUCAGCUGUGAUAACUUGUUAUCAAAAGUCAGGAAAACUGACGGGCCCCAAAUGCCGUCGGCCAUGGAAUUGGAAUAAUGGGAAUGCCACCAAAACGUGCCUGAUUGAUGGCUUACGGUGAAUUGUCAUAUGGACUCUCUGUCCUCUCCAAGAAUACUUGCCUGGGUUAUACCAGGUACACCGUCCAUGAGAGCCGUGCCAUUCUGUCGCAAACCAUGCCAAUCUGAAUUGGAAGUCAGUGACAAUGGAGGCAUGACAUCACCUUUUCAUGAGAAGAUAUACUUACGGAUGCCCUGUCCUUCAUGCAGAUAAUUGUUGACAUGUACGAUAACAGUAUCC
rnacentral:sRNA from 1 species